rnacentral:rRNA from 1 species
UCGGAACGUGCCCAGUCGGUGGGGGAUAACGUAGCGAAAGUUACGCUAAUACCGCAUACGAUCUAAGGAUGAAAGCGGGGGAUCGCAAGACCUCGCGCGAUUGGAGCGGCCGAUAUCAGAUUAGGUAGUUGGUGAGGUAAAGGCUCACCAAGCCGACGAUCUGUAGCUGGUCUGAGAGGACGACCAGCCACACUGGGACUGAGACACGGCCCAGACUCCUACGGGAGGCAGCAGUGGGGAAUUUUGGACAAUGGGCGCAAGCCUGAUCCAGCAAUGCCGCGUGCAGGAUGAAGGCCUUCGGGUUGUAAACUGCUUUUGUACGGAACGAAACGGUGAGCUCUAAUACAGUUUGCUAAUGACGGUACCGUAAGAAUAAGCACCGGCUAACUUCGUG